CAGGUGUGGUGGCGCAUGCCUGUAAUCCCAGCUACUCAGGAGGCUGAGGCAGGAGAAUUGCUUGAACCCAGGAGGCAGAGGUUGCGGUAAGCUGAGAUUGUGUGACUGCACUUCAGCCCGGGUGACAGAACGAGACUCUGUUUAAAAAAAAAAAAAAAAAAUUAAUGCAAUCUAUCGUCAAUUAGAUGUACAUUGCUGAGGUCUUUUAUCUGUUGUAGAUUUUUCCCCCUUUUUAUUGCAUCAGGCAUAUUACCCUGUAAAUUGUGGUAGUGAUAGCAGGAAUAAAAAAUUAAGUAAUUUUAUUGGGAGCAGAGGACUGCCCAAGUUGACUGAGGAGGGGUAGACUGGCCCAGGUUGGAAACAGAGCAGGUCAAAAUUCUCAUGCUGAUCAGUAGUGGAGUCACACCUGUGAGUAGCCACUGCACUUUGUCCUGGGCAGCAAGCGAGACCCUGUCUCUA
rnacentral:SRP_RNA from 2 species